GACGAACGCUGGCGGCGUGCUUUACACGUGCGAGUCGAACGGUGAAGGUGGAGCUUGCUCCACCGGAUCAGUGGCGAACGGGUGAGUAACACGUGGGCAACCUGCCCCUAACUUUGGGAUAACUACUCGAAAGAGUAGCUAAUACCGGAUAUGAAGUCUGUAGGCAUCUAUGGAUUUGGAAAGUUUUUCGGUUAGGGAUGGGCCCGCGGCCUAUCAGCUUGUUGGUGAGGUAGUGGCUCACCAAGGCGACGACGGGUAGCCGGCCUGAGAGGGCGACCGGCCACACUGGGACUGGGACACGGCCCAGACUCCUACGGGAGGCAGCAGUGGGGAAUAUUGCGCAAUGGGCGAAAGCCUGACGCAGCAACGCCGCGUGCGGGAUGAAGGCCUUCGGGUUGUAAACCGCUUUCAGCAGGGAAGAAGCGAAAGUGACGGUACCUGCAGAAGAAGCACCGGCUAACUACGUGCCAGCCGCCGCGGUAA
rnacentral:rRNA from 1 species